UGGGGAAUAUUGGGCAAUGGGGGAAACCCUGACCCAGCAACGCCGCGUGAAGGAAGAAGGCCUUCGGGUUGUAAACUUCUUUUACCAGGGACGAAGGACGUGACGGUACCUGGAGAAAAAGCAACGGCUAACUACGUGCCAGCAGCCGCGGUAAUACGUAGGUUGCAAGCGUUGUCCGGAUUUACUGGGUGUAAAGGGCGUGUAGGCGGAGGAGCAAGUCAGAUGUGAAAUCCAUGGGCUUAACCCAUGAACUGCAUUUGAAACUGUUUCCCUUGAGUAUCGGAGAGGCAAGCGGAAUUCCUAGUGUAGCGGUGAAAUGCGUAGAUAUUAGGAGGAACACCAGUGGCGAAGGCGGCUUGCUGGACGACAACUGACGCUGAGGCGCGAAAGCGUGGGGAGCAAACAGG
rnacentral:rRNA from 1 species